UACGUAGGGUGCAAGCGUUGUCCGGAAUUAUUGGGCGUAAAGAGCUCGUAGGCGGUUUGUCGCGUCUGCUGUGAAAACUCGGGGCUUAACCCCGGGCCUGCAGUGGGUACGGGCAGACUAGAGUGCGGUAGGGGAGACUGGAAUUCCUGGUGUAGCGGUGAAAUGCGCAGAUAUCAGGAGGAACACCGGUGGCGAAGGCGCACACCUGGCCCGAUACUGACGCUGAGGCGCGAAAGCUAGGGGAGCAAACGGG
rnacentral:rRNA from 1 species